AUUCUGCUACCAGAACACAUUCUCUGUCACGAUCUUUCAGUGAUAUCGGUUGAACAGACGGCAGUCAAUGAUCGUGUAAUGUGUAGAUGAUCUUCAAGAUUUUUUGAGAAUUCUAUUACAUUUUUUGACUUUUACUGCUUUUUAUGUGCUCUGUGAAUAUGCUUCAUUUAAGCUAUAUUUAUCUUUUCGAUUGUGGAUCCUGCAUAGGCCACACCAUGAUCCUCUGCAUGUAAAGCUACUCUAGAAGAACAGUUUUUCCACAACAAACAGUUGAUCUGUUUUCUCAUGAAGAUUAUCCAGUAGGCCUAUUUACCAGCGAAAUAUUGUUUGUAAAUUCUACCAGUGAAUGCACUAAUCUUUAACUUCUUUCUGUGUCAAGAUAUUUUUCUUACAUGGGUCUGCAUUAUGGGUCAGAAGAACCCAGAGGAAAGACAUCAUGGAUUGUGGAAAAGCUGAAAGAGACAGUCCUGUGACUUAUAAACAAGAGUCUGCAGGAACAGUACUGGAAGUUGAGAUUCACUUUUCAUCUGAUCGACCGAAUUCUUCACUUUCUGCUGAUGCAGUUGCUUCAGAGGGUCAACUGGGGUCGUGUGUCUCUUUUUACUCCUGUCCUUCAGUUCCUGAAAUACACUAUAAUGCUUGAUUGUUGUUUCAUCUCCCGCAAGUCUCUUUGUGCUCCCUCCAGGAUGUCAAGCUAUGACAGUUUCCUGUCAGUUGAGGCCAGAUGUCCCAGAUCGUUCUCAGUGAUGCCUGAACCUUCAGAGUUGCUGUAUUUAGGGUUGUUCAUAGCCUCCUUCCACACCAUCUUGAAAUGAGAAUCUAUAAAUGCCUCCAGCUCCUCAAUGUCACGUCACCCCAUUGGUCAAUUAGGUUCUGCAGGUUCUCUGACUGGAAAAAUCCAUAAAGGCUCUUUUUUUUGCAAUUAGAGCAGUGUAAGGCGUAUUUUUGUGGUAAUACAGAAAGGAUGGCCCACAAAAUCUUUAAGAGCAAGAGCAAAUGUUCAGACAUCUUAAUCCUUUGAUGCUCUCCUCGAAUGUCAGCUACAAAAACAUUAACAAACUUUAAACCAAUACCAACGUUCAAUAUCAUUAUCAACUUUCAGACCUAAUCAAGCAAUGUUGGGGGUAACACAUUAAAAGUAACAUGAGCUACGUAAUCAGAUUACUUUUUCUAGUAAAGUAAUGCAAUGACAAGAAAAUAUUUGAGGUACUUUUUCUAAUGCCAGUUGCUUUUGUUUUCCCAUUUAUUUACUGACAGCUCUCCUGUCCCUUUGUGGAAAGAAAUAUCAUAGUCUUCAUGCAAUCCAGAAUAAAAGUAUGUUUGAAAGCUGAAGGUAUGAAAGUUGUGCCAUCUACUGUACAGACGUGAAUUUACAUUUCCUUCAUCCUGAGACUUUUACAUUUGCCAAAAAUAUUACAUUAAAAACAAACAAGGAAGCCCAGCCCAUAUUUG